GUUCUGUGUGUGUGUGUUCAGUGUGAGGAGCCACGCCGCCCACUGGAAACAAGUCGUCGGAGGAGCGCGCAACAACAAUUUGUCUCCUCCACACACACACACACACACAGCUGCUGCCCCCGUUUACACGCGCGGAGGAGCGCGAGGAGCAGACUCACGCUGACAGACACACGCUGACACCCGGAGGAGGGAGAAGAUCCUGCUGUUCCUGCAUUGUCUGUCUGACGUUUUAUUUCAUGAUGGGUCAAGUCGGACCGUUCAGUUGGGGUGAAGGGCCGUGUUUCCUCCAAGGGCUGUGAGGUUGUGGACUGUGGAGGAUCACAAAGCAUCAGCUGUAGCUGCACGUGCUUUCUUCUGAUUCUGUUGGAUUGCAUCGCCCGUCUG
rnacentral:lncRNA from 1 species